AGAUUGAACGCUGGCGGCGUGCUUAACACAUGCAAGUCGAGCGGUAACGCGGGAGCAAUCCUGGCGACGAGCGGCGAACGGGUGAGUAAUGCUUGGGAAUCUGCCCAUUAGUGGGGAACAACCAGCCGAAAGGUUGGCUAAUACCGCAUACGCCCUACGGGGGAAAGCGGGGGAUCGAAAGACCUCGCGCUAAUGGAUGAGCCCAAGUCGGAUUAGCUUGUUGGUAGGGUAACGGCCUACCAAGGCGACAAUCCGUAGCUGGUCUGAGAGGACGACCAGCCACACUGGGACUGAGACACGGCCCAGACUCCUACGGGAGGCAGCAGUGGGGGAAUAUUGGACAAUGGGGGCAACCCUGAUCCAGCGACGCCGCGUGUGUGAAGAAGGCCUGCGGGUUGUAAAGCACUUUUAGUGGGGAUGAAAAGCUCAGGGUUAACACCUCUGGGUCUUGACCUAACCCACAGAAAAAGCACCGGCUAACUCUGCGCCAGCAGCCGC
rnacentral:rRNA from 1 species